rnacentral:lncRNA from 1 species
GCCAAGUUUUUUAGGCGGAAAGUUACCAAAAUAUGUUAAGGACUUAAUUCAGAGAUAAUGUUGCUAAACGAUUUGCAGUCGAUAAUCUUUCGAAAGCAGAAAAACUCAAGUUAGCAUCAAAUAGAAAGAUAUCGCAAUUUCUGUGUCAAACAAAGAAUACGCGAAUUAUUUGAGAUAUGAUUGAAAUUUGCAAAGAAAGUAAAAAUCAAACUAGUUUCAUUC